rnacentral:misc_RNA from 2 species
CUGAGUGAGGGCCUCCGGCCCGACCUCCAACCCAUUGUGAAUCAAUACCUCGUUGCCUCGGGGCUCACCUCGGGCUCACGCCCCAGGGGCCCCGACGGACACCUUCCAAACUCUUGCGUCUUUGCGUCUGAGUCUUAUUGCAAAUUAGUAA